AAAGCGUGCGCAGGCGGUUUUGUAAGUCUGUCGUGAAAGCCCCGGGCUUAACCUGGGAAUUGCGAUGGAGACUGCAAGGCUUGAAUCUGGCAGAGGGGGGUAGAAUUCCACGUGUAGCAGUGAAAUGCGUAGAGAUGUGGAGGAACACCGAUGGCGAAGGCAGCCCCCUGGGUCAAGAUUGACGCUCAUGCACGAAAGCGUGGGGAGCAAACAGGAUUAGAUACCCUUGU
rnacentral:rRNA from 1 species